rnacentral:rRNA from 1 species
GUGAGGAAUAUUGCGCAAUGGAGGCAACUCUGACGCAGCCAUGUCGCGUGCAGGAAGAAGGCGCUACGCGUUGUAAACUGCUUUUAACCGGGAAGAAACCCCAGGACGUGUCCUGGGUUGACGGUACCGGAGGAAUAAGCACCGGCUAACUUCGUGCCAGCAGCCGCGGUAAUACGAAGGGUGCAAGCGUUAUCCGGAUUCAUUGGGUUUAAAGGGUGCGUAGGCGGAGCGUUAAGUCAGUGGUGAAAUCCUGCAGCUUAACUGUAGACUUGCCAUUGAUACUGGCGCUCUUGAGUGCGCUUGAAGUGGGCGGAAUGUGCCGUGUAGCGGUGAAAUGCUUAGAUAUGGCACAGAACACCAAUUGCGAAGGCAGCUCACUAAGGCGAUACUGACGCUGAGGCACGAAAGCGUGGGGGUCGAACAGGAUUAGAAACCCUAGUAGUCC